AAGGAGAGAACACUUCAAAAGUUCAAAACUUUACUUAUCGAACAAAAAACAAGAAGGAAAAGUUCAAAAUUUUUCUCCGACACCCAAUCGGACUUUUCACAUUUUCUAACGCUCUCCCCGUGCAGCGAAGACCAAUUAGAAAAGAACCACUUUCUCCGCACACGUCUUUGGCCUCUGGAUUCUCUCACUUUCUUGCCGCCCAAACACCCUCGGUCCCAAACCAAAGUUUUCUGUGAAGCGUCUUUUGGGUGAAUUAGGACGGAGACCCUUCGUUAGCUUAGUUGAAGCAGACAAGAGGGAUAAAUAAUGCCGAACUGGGAGCUCAAGAAUUGUUGCAAGCAUGAUCAGGUCGUUUUCUUGGCCUGCAGCGGUGUGUUUACCCUUGUAAUCCUCGCGCUUUGGAGGACAGUACUAUUGACACCUUUUAAGCUCAUCACCGUGUUCCUGCAUGAAGCAAGUCAUGCAAUUGUUUGCAUACUAACGUGUGGCAAGGUAGAGGGAAUGGAGGUUCAUGCAAAUGAGGGUGGGGUAACACAAACUCGUGGUGGGAUUUACUGGCUGAUCUUGCCUGCUGGAUAUCUUGGUUCGUCAUUUUGGGGAUUGGUCUUGAUACUUGCAUCUACACAUAUCAUGACCGCAAGAAUUGCUGCUGGUUGUCUUGCGCUUGCUCUGUUGGUUGUGCUCUUUGUUGCUAAAAAUUGGACACUUCGAGGACUUUGUAUUGGAUUCAUUAUUUUCCUUGCUGUAAUAUGGAUUCUGCAAGAAAAAACAACUGUCCGUAUUCUUCGCUACGUCAUUCUCUUCAUUGGAGUGAUGAACAGUUUGUUUUCAGUUUACGAUAUUUAUGAUGAUCUAAUAUCUCGAAGAGUUCACUCCAGCGAUGCUGAGAAGUUUGCAGAAGUUUGCCCCUGCCCUUGUAAUGGGUUUGGAUGGGGAGUAAUUUGGUGAGCUUCAUAGCAUGCCAAGAGCAUGAAUAUCCUAGCAUAAACAGGAAAAAAAGGGGAAUGAUAUCAUUUAUAUUUCUUUGUGGAUCCAUGUAUCUUGGACUCGUAAUCUUGUCUUGAGGUUCAGAGACGACGGUUCAAACUAUGCUUGAUGUAGAGAACGCAGUGCUCACCUAUUCUUUGUAAUUCUUCAAUGAUUAUGUAUACUCAAUACUGUUCAUGGACUGCUUCUCUAUUCAUCUGAUAGCAAGAGCGUGGCCUUGCUAAUCCUUAUUCCAUGGCUUUAUUCUUUUAGCCCUUUCUUCUUGAGGGUUGUAAACUUGUAUACAUACAUGAAAGUUCUAUGUAGGAUAAUUUCUUUUGAUGCA